GUAAACUUUAAAUAUCCUGGUUUUUGCACUUAAAAUAAUCUCAAAUUUUUAUUUCCAGAGAUAAAAGAUAAUUCCAUUAAUAUCAAUGAUUAGCAUAGUACAAAUCCAUAGCCUAAACAAGUUAGAUCCCAACCUCCCAACCCACAAUAUAUCUAAGUCCAUAGAAAAUAAACCCCCAACUAGGAUAGGAGAUCUGCCAAGAGUAGGGGACUUCUGCAGUAAGGAGGCAACCGCGCCACAGCCAAUAACAUAAAAGGGCCAUCACCGGGGAAGCUUUAACCCCAAACAAAGGAAAGCUCAGCCUUAUCCUUUAGCUAUUGUGGUUUUUUUUUUUUUUUUUU
rnacentral:misc_RNA from 1 species